GUACAGAUAGCUUGUUCGAUGCAGGGUACCCAGGGGCUCUCACUCUUGGUGAUGUAGUUUGUGGAAUGGCAGCUGUGAGAAUAACUUCCAAGGACAUGCUAUUUUGGUUUCGGUCCCAAACUGCUGCAGAAAUUCGAUGGGGUGGAGCAAAACAUGAACCUGGUGAGAAGGAUGAUGGCAGGAAAAUGCACCCGAGAUCUUCCUUCAAGGCCUUCCUUGAAGUUGUCAAGACAAGGAGUUUGCCUUGGAAGGACUAUGAAAUGGACGCAAUUCAUUCUCUGCAGCUUAUACUGAGGAAUACUUUCAAGGAG
rnacentral:misc_RNA from 1 species